rnacentral:rRNA from 1 species
AUACGGAGGAUGCAAGCGUUAUCCGGAAUUAUUGAGCGUAAAGAGUGCGUAGGUGGUUACCUAAGCAGGGGGUGAAAGGCACUGGCUUAACCAAUGUCAGCCCCCUGAACUGGGCUACUUGAGUGCCGGAGCGGAAAGUGGAAUUCCUAGUGUAGCGGUGAAAUGGGUAGAUAUUAGGAGGAACACCAGUGGCGAAGGCGACUUUCUGGACUGAUACUGACACUGAGGCGCGAAAGCGUGGGUAGCAAACAGGAUUAGAUACCCUGGUAGUCCACGCCGUAAACGAUGUCAACUAGCCGUUGGGGGACUUGAUCCUUUAGUGGCGAAGCUAACGCGAUAAGUUGACCGCCUGGGGAGUACGGCCGCAAGGUUGAAACUCAAAUGAAUUGGCGGGG